rnacentral:rRNA from 1 species
GAUGAACGCUAGCGGCAGGCUUAACACAUGCAAGUCGAGGGGUAUAGUUCUUCGGAAUUAGAGACCGGCGCACGGGUGCGUAACGCGUAUGCAAUCUACCUUUCACAGAGGGAUAGCCCAGAGAAAUUUGGAUUAAUACCUCAUAGUAUUAUAGAAUGGCAUCAUUUUAUAAUUAAAGUCACAACGGUGAAAGAUGAGCAUGCGUCCCAUUAGCUAGUUGGUAUGGUAACGGCAUACCAAGGCUACGAUGGGUAGGGGUCCUGAGAGGGAGAUCCCCCACACUGGUACUGAGACACGGACCAGACUCCUACGGGAGGCAGCAGUGAGGAAUAUUGGACAAUGGGCGCAAGCCUGAUCCAGCCAUGCCGCGUGCAGGAUGACGGUC